rnacentral:ncRNA from 1 species
UUGCUGGUAACGGCAGGGUCUGAAGGAAGCGAUAGGAAGUAAGCGGUACAUAGUGUAAACGAACCUGAUUCAGCGGUGCGGGAGGGUAAGCGUCCAAACUAGCGUGAAGCCCGAUACCUGGUCAGUCCCGUAACGUGUUUGAGGAUGCGAUCGCUCACAGGGGGUUCGC